rnacentral:misc_RNA from 1 species
AAGGUUCUUGACCUUCUUGGACAUGGCAAAGCAUUCUGUGCGGGUGUCAAAUUUUGGAAGAAGGUAUUAGAUGGAAUUUUGGUGAUGGGAGCCCUAUUCAAUGUAAGACAGACCGCUGGAUACCUCUUUCCUUCCCUUCACCUCCUCAGUGUAAAGCUACUGCAGACUUAGUAUUAUAUGGGCUUCUCAGUUGGUUGAUAGUCAAUUUCAUACGUGGGAUGUUCAGAAGCUACAUGCUAUUUUUGAAAAAGAGGAAGUUCAUAACAUUUUAUCUAUUCCAGUCAAUAUCUUUCACAAGGAUGACUCCCUAAUAUGGCAUUUCUCUUCUUCCAGGACAUGUGUCGUCAAAUCUGGUUAUCGAAUUGCUCUUCAGAUUAAACAAAGAGAGAUUGAAGCUAACCAGGCAGGUCCUGGUCCAAAUGGAACCUCUCAUAUUCAGAACAUGUGGCGUCAAUUUUGGAAGUUUGAGCUUUCACCAAAAAUUUCAAUCUUUUUAUGGAGACUGUUAAAGGAGAGGCUUCCGUUCAAUAAGUUAAUUCAUAAAAGAAUUCCUGCUAUCUCAGAGAAUUGUAAUUUUUGUGGACAACCAGAAUCCUUACUCCACUUGUUUUUCCAUUGCCUAAGAGCAAUUCAUGUGUGGCUUUAUUCCCCUUUUAUGCUUCGAUCUUCCUUGCUCAAUGGAACAUUUAUUGUUGAUUGUUGGUUGGAACUAACUUCUUCUUUACAGCUACACAGCCAUGAUGAUAACCUUGUGAUGCUGAUGGCUUUCCUUUUGUUAAAUAUUUGGAAGGGCAGAAACCAAUUAGUAUUUAGAAACAAGAUGCUUGAUCACCAGUACAUCAUUCAAGCAACCAUAUCCGAGUAUUAGGAAUUCUGUUCCCUUCAAUUAUCCCAUCAGGCUCCACAAAGGACCCCCAAUCAACCUCCUUCUUCAUCAUGGAUUCCACCUUAACAAGGAAAGAUCAAGAUCAAUUUUGAUGGCACAGUGGAUAAAAAGCUCAAGAGGGGAUCGGUUACAGCACUUGCUAGAGAUGCAUCAGGUCAGCCUUGUGGUUGGAUUUGUAAGAGAUUUCCUAGUAUAACAGACCCAUUAAUUCUUAAAGCUCCUGCAUCUCAAGAAGCAGCUCAUCUGGCUCACUCGAGAGGUUACAAUUCAACCAUAAUAGAAGGUGAUUCGUGGAUAGUAGUUCAUGCAGCAAAAGGAGCAUCAUCUAAUAUUCAAAUUCAAGGAAUUAUGCAUGAUAUUUCUUGUUUUUCAGCUCAAUUGGUUUGUUGCAAUUUCAUCCAUGUCAAUAGGACUAGAAAUGAAGUAGUGCAUAAUCUAGCCAGGAAAUGCCUGCUGGAUGAUUCAUUUUAUUUCAAUCCUUUGACUCAAGUCAAUUAUGUAAUUUCUCUCUUGGCUAA